rnacentral:rRNA from 1 species
GAACGCUGGCGGCGUGCCUAAUACAUGCAAGUCGAGCGGACUGAUGGGAGCUUGCUCCCUGAGGUUAGCGGCGGACGGGUGAGUAACACGUGGGCAACCUACCUGUAAGACUGGGAUAACUCCGGGAAACCGGGGCUAAUACCGGAUAACCCGUUCCACCUCAUGGUGGAGCGGUAAAAGAUGGCCUCUGGCUAUCACUUACAGAUGGGCCCGCGGCGCAUUAGCUAGUUGGUAAGGUAACGGCUUACCAAGGCGACGAUGCGUAGCCGACCUGAGAGGGUGAUCGGCCACACUGGGACUGAGACACGGCCCAGACUCCUACGGGAGGCAGCAGUAGGGAAUCUUCCGCAAUGGACGAAAGUCUGACGGAGCAACGCCGCGUGAGUGAUGAAGGUUUUCGGAUCGUAAAGCUCUGUUGUUAGGGAAGAACAAGUGCCGUUUGAAUAAGGCGGCACCUUGACGGUACCUAACCAGAAAGCCACGGCUAACUACGUGCCAGCAGCCGCGGUAAUACGUAGGUGGCAAGCGUUGUCCGGAAUUAUUGGGCGUAAAGCGCGCGCAGGCGGUCUCUUAAGUCUGAUGUGAAAGCCCACGGCUCAACCGUGGAGGGUCAUUGGAAACUGGGAGACUUGAGUACAGAAGAGGAGAGUGGAAUUCCACGUGUAGCGGUGAAAUGCGUAGAUAUGUGGAGGAACACCAGUGGCGAAGGCGACUCUCUGGUCUGUAACUGACGCUGAGGCGCGAAACCUGGGGGAGCAAACAGG